GUGGGUCCCAGAACUUUAGGGAUGUCACAGAUAGGUCAUAGAGCAUUGCCAAGGCUUUUGUCAUAACAGAUAUCUUACCAACCGCAGUGUGUACUGAGCAUUAGUUACUCAGGAGGGUGUUUAGUGAGCAGACAGCCUCUUGGAUUAGAGAUUGUUAUACAAAUGUCAUUCUUUAUCAUCAUCAUCUAACUUUUCAAGAGCAGAGUUAAGAAAGAAACUUUCCUAAUAUCACCAAUUAUCCAGUUGAAUCAUGAAACACAAAAGAAAAAUAAAACAUCUGGAACCUUCAUUGUUAAACUAAACAGAAAAGAGACCAAGAGAAGAGUUAGAUUUAUAAGAUGAUCUGCAGAGCAGAAACAAUGUACUGACCCCAACUCAAGACCAGGAAGAGAGCAAUAUUUCUUCAAAUCACUUCUUUUGCGAAGACAAAUUCUUUGGUGCAGGCAUGAAGUAAUGAUUAAAUAAGACUUGUGGAAGUCUCCAGAAGAUGCUGCUGAGACACCGAGGAAUGUCCUAGCCUCCAGUCAGGGAGGAGAGAAUUCCACAGACACAGAGCUUUGCCUUUGUGUCUCUUCAGCAAGCCUGCAAGUUGCUGCAACACAUGAAGGCAGGGAGAUCUGAAUGUGACCUGAACUUGGACGAUAGGCACCCCAGAGCUGCUUGUCCAACACCUCUGGAAACCUUUUGGUGGAUGUCUUCAGUCAUGCUGUCUUCGCUGUCUUGA
rnacentral:lncRNA from 1 species